rnacentral:rRNA from 1 species
AUUGAACGCUGGCGGCAUGCUUUACACAUGCAAGUCGAACGGCAGCGCGGGCUUCGGCCUGGCGGCGAGUGGCGAACGGGUGAGUAAUACAUCGGAACGUGCCCAGUAGUGGGGGAUAGCUCGGCGAAAGCCGGAUUAAUACCGCAUACGACCUGAGGGUGAAAGCGGGGGAUCUUCGGACCUCGCGCUAUUGGAGCGGCCGAUGGCAGAUUAGCUAGUUGGUGGGGUAAAGGCCUACCAAGGCGACGAUCUGUAGCUGGCCUGAGAGGACGACCAGCCACACUGGGACUGAGACACGGCCCAGACUCCUACGGGAGGCAGCAGUGGGGAAUUUUGGACAAAGGGCGAAAGCCUGAUCCAGCAAUGCCGCGUGUGUGAUGAAGGCCUUCGGGUUGUAAAGCACUUUUGGCGGGAACGAAAAGGACUGUGCCAAUACCACGGUUCGAUGACGGUACCCGCAGAAUAAGCACCGGCUAACUACGUG